rnacentral:rRNA from 1 species
UACGGAGGAGGCAAGCGUUAUCCGGAAUUAUUGGGCAUAAAGCGUCCGUAGGUGGCUCUUCAAGUCUGCUGUCAAAGAGUGGGGCUUAACCCUGCAAAGGCAGUGGAAACUGAAAGGCUAGAGAGCCGUAGGGGUAGAGGGAAUUCCCGGUGUAGCGGUGAAAUGCGUAGAGAUCGGGAAGAACAUCGGUGGCGAAGGCAAUCCCCUGGACCUGUACUGACGCUCAUGCACGAAAGCGUGGGGAGCAAACAGG